CGGACGGGUGAGUAACGCGUGGAAAACCUGCCGUAUACUGGGGGAUAACACUUAGAAAUAGGCGCUAAUACCGCAUAAGCGCACAGCUUCGCAUGAAGCGGUGUGAAAAACUCUGGUGGUAUACGAUGGUUCCGCGUCUGAUUAGCUAGUUGGUGGGGUAAUGGCCCACCAAGGCAACGAUCAGUAGCCGGCCUGAGAGGGUGAACGGCCACAUUGGGACUGAGACACGGCCCAAACUCCUACGGGAGGCAGCAG
rnacentral:rRNA from 1 species